rnacentral:rRNA from 1 species
CAGCAGUGUGGGAAUAUUGGACAAUGGGGGCCACCCCUUGUCCAGCCCAUGCCGCGUGUGUGAAGAAGGCCUUUUGGUUGUAAAAGCACUUUAAGCAGUGAAGAAGACCUAGUGGUUAAUACCCACUAGCGAUGACAUUAGCUGCAGAAUAAAGCACCGGCUAACUCUGUGCCAGCAGCCGCGGUAAUACAGAGGGUGCGAGCGUUAAUCGGAAUUACUGGGCGUAAAGCGAGCGUAGGUGGCUUGAUAAGUCAGAUGUGAAAGCCCCGGGCUUAACCUGGGAACGGCAUCUGAUACUGUUAGGCUAGAGUAGGUGAGAGGAAAGUAGAAUUCCAGGUGUAGCGGUGAAAUGCGUAGAGAUCUGGAGGAAUACCGAUGGCGAAGGCAGCUUUCUGGCAUCAUACUGACACUGAGGUUCGAAAGCGUGGGUAGCAAACAGGAUUAGAUACCCUGGUAGUCCACGCCGUAAACGAUGUCUACUAGUCGUUGGGGAGCUUGACUCCUUAGUGACGCAGCUAACGCACUAAGUAGACCGCCUGGGGAGUACGGCCGCAAGGUUAAAACUCAAAUGAAUUGACGGGGGCCCGCACAAGCGGUGGAGCAUGUGGUUUAAUUCGAUGCAACGCGAAGAACCUUACCUGGUCUUGACAUACACAGAAUCUGGCAGAGAUGCCGGAGUGCCUUCGGGAAUUGUGAUACAGGUGCUGCAUGGCUGUCGUCAGCUCGUGUCGUGAGAUGUUGGGUUAAAGUCCC